rnacentral:tRNA from 1 species
GCCGUCGUAGCUCAGUGGUAGAGCAUCUUCUUGGUAAGAAGAAGGUCGUGGGUCCAAUUCCCACCGGCGGCUCAA